rnacentral:rRNA from 1 species
AUACGGAGGGUGCGAGCGUUAAUCGGAAUUACUGGGCGUAAAGGGUGCGUAGGCGGCUUGAUAAGUCGGAUGUGAAAGCCCCGGGCUUGACCUGGGAAUUGCAUUCGAUACUGUCAGGCUAGAGUAUGUCAGAGGUUGGCGGAAUUCCUGGUGUAGCGGUGAAAUGCGUAGAUAUCAGGAGGAACACCAGUGGCGAAGGCGGCUAACUGGGGCAAUACUGACGCUGAGGCACGAAAGCGUGGGGAGCAAACAGGAUUAGAAACCCUUGUAGUCC